CUUGAUGUGUAGGAUAGGUGGGAGGCUUUGAAGCGUGGACGCCAGUCUGCGUGGAGCCGACCUUGAAAUACCACCCUUUAAUGUUUGAUGUUCUAACGUGGACCCGUAAUCCGGGUUGCGGACAGUGUCUGGUGGGUAGUUUGACUGGGGCGGUCUCCUCCUAAAGAGUAACGGAGGAGCACGAAGGUUGGCUAAUCCUGGUCGGACAUCAGGAGGUUAGUGCAAUGGCAUAAGCCAGCUUGACUGCGAGCGUGACGGCGCGAGCAGGUGCGAAAGCAGGUCAUAGUGAUCCGGUGGUUCUGAAUGGAAGGGCCAUCGCUCAACGGAUAAAAGGUACUCCGGGGAUAACAGGCUGAUACCGCCCAAGAGUUCAUAUCGACGGCGGUGUUUGGCACCUCGAUGUCGGCUCAUCACAUCCUGGGGCUGAAGUAGGUCCCAAGGGUAUGGCUGUUCGCCAUUUAAAGUGGUACGCGAGCUGGGUUUAGAACGUCGUGAGACAGUUCGGUCCCUAUCUGCCGUGGGCGCUGGAGAACUGAGGGGGGCUGCUCCUAGUACGAGAGGACCGGAGUGGACGCAUCACUGGUGUUCGGGUUGUCAUGCCAAUGGCACUGCCCGGUAGCUAAAUGCGGAAGAGAUAAGUGCUGAAAGCAUCUAAGCACGAAACUUGCCCCGA
rnacentral:rRNA from 2 species